rnacentral:rRNA from 1 species
UACGAAGGGGGCUAGCGUUGCUCGGAAUCACUGGGCGUAAAGCGCACGUAGGCGGACUCUUAAGUCGGUGGUGAAAUCCUGGAGCUCAACUCCAGAACUGCCUUCGAUACUGGGAGUCUUCGAGUUCGGGAGAGGUGAGUGGAACUGCGAGUGUAGAGGUGAAAUUCGUAGAUAUUCGCAAGAACACCAGUGGCGAAGGCGGCUCACUGGUCCGAUACUGACGCUGAGGUGCGAAAGCGUGGGGAGCAAACAGG